rnacentral:rRNA from 1 species
AUUGAACGCUGGCGGCAUGCUUUACACAUGCCAGUCGAACGGUAACAGGCCGCAAGGUGCUGACGAGUGGCGAACGGGUGAGUAAUGCAUCGGAACGUGCCCAGUCGUGGGGGAUAACUACUCGAAAGAGUAGCUAAUACCGCAUACGAUCUAUGGAUGAAAGCGGGGGACCGUAAGGCCUCGCGCGAUUUGAGCGGCCGAUGUCAGAUUAGGUAGUUGGUGGGGUAAAGGCUCACCAAGCCAACGAUCUGUAGCUGGUCUGAGAGGACGACCAGCCACACUGGGACUGAGACACGGCCCAGACUCCUACGGGAGGCAGCAGUGGGGAAUUUUGGACAAUGGGCGCAAGCCUGAUCCAGCAAUGCCGCGUGCAGGAAGAAGGCCUUCGGGUUGUAAACUGCUUUUGUACGGAACGAAACGGCUCUGGUUAAUACCCGGGGCUAAUGACGGUACCGUAAGAAUAAGCACCGGCUAACUACGUG